AUAGCGUAUAUUAAAGUUGUUGCAGUUAAAAAGCUCGUAGUUGAACUUCAGACCUGGCUGGGCGGUCCGCCUAACGGCGUGUACUGUCUGGCUGGGCCUUACCUCUUGGUGAGCCGGCGUGCCCUUUAUUGGUGUGCGUCGGGGAACCAGGACUUUUACCUUGAGAAAAUUAGAGUGUUCAAAGCAGGCCUGUGCCCGAAUACAUUAGCAUGGAAUAAUAAAAUAGGACGUGCGGUUCUAUUUUGUUGGUUUCUAGAGUCGCCGUAAUGAUUAAUAGGGAUAGUUGGGGGCAUUGGUAUUGAGUCGCUAGAGGUGAAAUUCUUGGAUUGACUCAAGACCGACUAUUG
rnacentral:rRNA from 1 species